GCUUAUUACAAUCUACUUAUACAGAGUGGAAUAUUGUAAGGACAAUACCUAAAUGGAAGUAAAAUAAGCACAGCAUCAGGGAGGGGAUUUUCAGGUUUUUCAUCCUCCUGUACAAUUGGUUAUGGUAGUUAGGUUUCAGUUUGUGAUAAGGAUAAAAAGUGAGAUAAAUAGUAUGAAGCUAGAGUGAGGCAUCAAUUUGGGGGAGAACACUUGUAUAUACAGCCUGAAUGAAAUUUUGGCGGCUCUUGAGCAUCAAGAUAAGGCACGAAUCUGGUUUUGAAUCGUCAAGAUAAGCUAACUUGAGCAAGGGUUUUUGGUUGUGGAGCAGCUUGAGGAGUGUUGAUGCAUUGGCGAAGUAGUUUUCUGGAUCUGAGGUUUGGCUCUGCUUUUUGUCACCAUGACUGCUGAGAGAGUUGAUUCAAAUACGGACUCGGCAAGUCUUCUGAAUGGCGGCUACGAAGACCAGGGUUACAGAGCAAGUCAAUAUUAUUUAGCCAGACAAACCUUUCUUCGGAGUUAUCAUUUCUCUGUAGAAGAAACCUUCAAAGAUAAGCUUCGGAAGUCCAUCCGCAGGCUUAAGGAGGAAUCUUUGGAAGAAAUUGUGAAGGAAUCUCUACAAAAUUUGAUGAAAGCGUUGAAAGGCUUUAUGAGCCGCCGUUACGAAAAUCUUGUUGAGGGACAUUUGAAGAAGAAGAGGAAUCUGUCGGUCGGUGCCUGUUUUCCAUCACUGCACAAUCCUGCAGCAACUCGGAAGGUUUUGAGCUAUUGUUCCUGAUCAAUUGGUGCUCUGCUGUUCUUAAUUUUCACUUUGCCUUUUCUGUGCUUGUACGUUCAUUCUGUUUUUUCCCCUGCGUUUAUAAUAAAUAUUUUAUUCGAAAUUCUCUGUUGUUUUAUACAGAGUUCCAUUGGACUGAAAAGCAUAUUAUUUACCAGCAGAGAAAAUUGAUUGUAUAGAAAAUAAAUGUUCCCUUUGACUGCAACUGGGAAACUGACAGUAUCCACGCAAACCCUGUGGAUCAUACUGUAAUCUUUGUUAUAAUUUGGGUAAAAUAAGUCACCGGUUGCUUAAGCUGGUCUGAAUGUAAAUAUCAGAUGACAAUCUCUCUUCCCCCUCUUGGUCUGCAACUUUAUCCAUUCCUAUUCUUAUGACAAUCUCUUUUCCAGUGGGAAGGUAAAUUGAAAAGUGGGAAGGUAAAUUGAAAAGUUCCAGUGGCAGGAAAUUUUGAAGUAGAAGGCAAAUUGAAAUUUCUAUUGAGGGUAAAUUGGAGAAAUAGAUCUUUUUUUAAAUAUAUAAAAUUUGAAAAUAUGAAGAAUCAUUUUAAAUUGUUUUUAUUAAGUAAUUUGUCAUUCAUCUUGGAAGAGAUAUCCAAACAUAAUUUGGGGAUCUUGUCAUUAUCCAGCCAAUUUGAGGCAUCUUGUUACAUGACUAAUCACUGUAGUCAUGCUUAUACCCUCAAAAAUUCCAUUAUGGUGAUUGUGUAGGAAGAGCCACUUCAUUUUGUAUUUCAUUACUGUGUUAUUCAUCAUAGAAGAGAUAACCAAACAUAAUGUCAAACCUUGUCAUUGUCUAGCUAACAUGUAGUAGACUAUCAAAUGACUAACAAUUAAUAGAAGGUGUGUUUAUGGGAAAGCCAUAUGAGUCAUGGAAAUUAUGCCUAGUUCAGCCAUGAAAAGAGAUGGGUCCUUGUGAGAAGGGGAAGUUAGUACAAGUAUAACAAUGCAAGCAACACUAAUCCAAUUCCCAAUAAGAGUAUGCAAAUAAGCAACUUCAAGGAAAACCUAGUUAGCUUGCAUCUAAGUGUAGAAGAACAUUCAAACCAACCAUAGAUUUAGUAUACACAACAAAAUGAGAGUCAAUUAAAGCUCUUAAAAAAAGAGUUGAGUAUCUAUAUUUCCAUACACACUAAACAUAAUUUUCACUCUAAAAAAUGUCAAAAUUAGGUGAUCUUAGUUGACAUUUGUUGUGGUCAUUCAAUCAUUUGAUACAUGAAAAGAGAUCAAAUAUAAAAGCCUUAAAGAGAUCAAGUAUCAAAAUCUAAGCAAUUUGAGCCCAUUGGCAAAACUAUAAGAAGUGAUUGAAUGUUUCUAGAUGACUACAAAAAGAACAACAUGGAUUAUCAACACUUAAAUGGAUCAAAUGAGAACCACUUGGGAGACCCUAGUAAAGAAUUUACCAAGCAAAAUAAGAGAACUUGGGUUCCAAAAUGGAUGAACAAACUACAUGAAAUUUGUGUUCCCAAAUAGUAGCCAUAGAUUGCAAACCACAUAUGUUUUAUUAGAUUAAUCAGCAUAGUAUUACAAGGAGGAGAGAAACAUUUUUUUAACAAAUGUUUAAAAUAGUAAAAGAUAUUGAAUAGAAUGUCAAUCAAGUUAUCAAUAGAUAUGAUUUUAUAAAAUAGAGAAAGUACAAUAAGAAAAACAUUAGAGACAAAAAUAAUUCAGUGAUCUUUAUCUUGAUGACAAAUUAUAAAAUGUAAUCUAGAAUAUUUGAUACAAAACUUCAUAACUCAAAAUAAUCUAGAACAUCAAUACAAAAUUAUAUAAUUCAAAAUAAUCUAAAACAUUAAUAUAAAACUUCGUAGAUAAGUUUUGACUCUACUUAAAAACAAAAAAAACUAUUCAAAAUAAAAUUAAGCAUUUUUUAAUUGCUUUGCUUAUAGAAAAGUAGUAAGUCUUUAAAUACAAAUUACAAUCCUCUCUUUUGCAAAGUAUUUAUUUCAACCAAACUCCCUUAAAUGACAUAAUGAUGUGUUUCUUUUUCCUCACACUUACUCUACUUUUUACCUGUUCCCCUUCCAAUUCAAUCCUCCUCCUUCCGAAUAUUCUGGCGGCUUGCGUCAGUUUGUACUGCGCCAAAACAUAAAAUUUAAAAUAUUAAAAAGCUGUGCAGGAAAAAGAUAGCGAAUCAGAUUCUGUGUAUUCCAGAAUCCACAACACGAGUGUUUUAAAGUCUGUCAACAAACAAAAGUAAAUUUAGCCGGUUAUGUCUUAGGAUACGGUUUUAUGGAAGGAACCUCAGGGUUUAACUGGAAUUUUAUUUUGAAAUUGUCUUUAAUUUUUUUAUUUUUUCUUAAUUUUGUUUUUUAUAAAAUUUUAAUUUUCUAUCUUUGAAAGCAUAAAUAAUCACAUUGUUAAGUAAGUAGCUGAUAUUUUGAGUUUGAAUUAUAAUAUAUAAAUUUUUUUUUAAUUAAAUAUUAAAAUUAAUAUUCCGUCUAAAGAUUUUUUAUGAAUUGAAUUUUUUUUUUUUUUUGGAUAACUCCCUCCAUAGGACCAUAGGCUUAUUACAAUCUACUUAUACAGCAGAGGUGGAAUAUUGUAAGGACAAUACCUAAAUGAAAGCAAAAUAAGGACAGCAUCAGGGAAGGGAAUUUCAGGGUUUUUAUUCUCCUGUAGAAUUGGUUAUGGUGGUUAGGUUUCAGUUUGGGAUAAGGAUAAUAAGUGAGAUAAAUAGUAUGAAGCUGAAGUGAGGCAUCAAUUUGGGGGAGAACACUUGUAUAAACACGCUGAAUGAGAUUUCGGCGGCUCUUGAGCAUCAGGAUAAGGCACAAAUCUGGUUUUGAAUCGUCAAGAUAAGCCAACUUGAGCAAUGAUUUUUGGUUGUGGAGCAGGUUGAGUGUUGAUGCAGUGGCGAAGUAGUUUUCUCAAUCUGAGGGUUUGGCUCUGCUUUUUAUCGCCAUGACUGCUGACAGAGUUGAUUCAAAUACGGACUCGUCAAGUCUUCUGAAUGGUGGCUGCGAAGACCAGGGUUACAGAGCAAGUCAGUAUUAUUUAGCCAGACAAACGUUUCUUCGGAGUUAUCAUUUCUCUGUAGAAGAAAGCUUCAAAGAUAAGCUCAGGAAGUCCAUCCGCAGGCUUAAGGAGGAAUCUUUGGAAGAAAUUUUGAAGGAAUCUCUUCAAAAUUUGAUGAAAGCGUUGAAAGGCUUUAUGAACCGCCGUUACGAAAAUCUUAUUGAGGGAAAUUUGAAGAAGAAGAAGAAUCUGUCGGUUGGUGCCUGUUUUCCAUCACUGCACAAACCUGCAGCUACACGGAAGGUUCUGAGCUAUUGUUCCUGAUCAAAUGGUGUUCUGCUAUACUUAAUAUUCACUUUGCCUUUUCUGUUCUUGUACAUUCAUGCUUUUUUCCUUUUUUCUCUGCGGGCUAUAAUAAAGAUUUAUUCGAAAUUCCCUUUUUCGGUA